rnacentral:rRNA from 1 species
UACGUAGGGUGCAAGCGUUAAUCGGAAUUACUGGGCGUAAAGCGUGCGUAGGCGGUGAUGUAAGACAGAUGUGAAAUCCCCGGGCUCAACCUGGGAACUGCAUCUGUGACUGCAUCGCUGGAGUGCGGCAGAGGGGGAUGGAAUUCCGCGUGUAGCAGUGAAAUGCGUAGAGAUGUGGAGGAACACCGAUGGCGAAGGCAGCCCCCUGGGUUAACACUGACGCUCAGGCACGAAAGCGUGGGGAGCAAACAGG